CGAGGAUUCCCCUAGUAACGGCGAGUGAACGGGGAAAAGCCCAGCGCUGAAUCCUUCGGCCACUGGUCGCUUGGAAUUGUAGCGUAUAGGUGCGGCCGUCCGGCUGUUUCGCUUACCCAAAGUCCCCUUGAGCGGGGCCAUUGUCCAAAGAAGGUGCUAGACCUGUACGGGUGGUGAGAUGGUCGGUUGGUUGCUCCUUGGAGUCGGGUUGCCUGGGAUCGCAGCCCAAAGUUGGUGGUAGACCUCAUCUAAGGCUAAAUAUGGCCACGAAACCGAUAGCAAACAAGUACCGUGAGGGAAAGUUGCAAAGAACUUUGAAGAGAGAGUUCAAGAGGGCGUGAAACCGCUGAGAUUGAAACGGAUAGAGUUGACGGAACUCGGCUGCAUUCAUUCGGUCGGCCUAGCGGCCCGAUGGGACUGGCUUCCUCGAUGAGGGCAGUUCUGUCGGUAGCUGUUGGGUGCUUGAUCGGUGUAUUUGCGGCUGGUAUGCGCUGAGAGCCUUGUGGUCGCAUGUUGACGGGUACGUAGUGGACCAUGCCUUACGGGUGUGGAACCCUCCGUGCCUUGAGGCAUGUCGGCCAUGAGGUUUCGAACGUAGCGUCUCCGCUAUGGUGCGUCGGCCUUGUCGAGCUGUUGCUGCUGUGGUAUGGUCGCGUGCGACCUGCCGUAGUUGGCGAUGGCGUGGCGGGGUGCGGACGCGUCGAGACGUCCAUCUCGGUGUGAACGUUGACCACCUAUCCGA
rnacentral:rRNA from 1 species